rnacentral:lncRNA from 1 species
AUGUUGUUUCCUCAGUGGAGUGCUAUGGUCAUCUGCUUCCAACAUUUGCUGUAUGACACUGGGAUAACAGAACUGGCAGGACAGAGAGAAGAAAUAGCUGAAGCCUAUAGUGGAUGCCAAUCCAGUAGCCCAACAUCCUGCAGACUAAUCAGGAAGGGGAGGAGUAUGGAAUGCCAGGUGCUGAAGUUUCAAAGGAUUUGGGUCUAUUGGCAGAGGGCAAAGUCCCAUGAAGUGACUGAAGAAAAUUCAACAUCUUGGGCCUGUCUUAUUCUCCCAAGAAGCAGAAAAAAAUCAUGGAAGAGGUUGAGUCAUGGACUUUUCAUGGCAACACUGAACAUGGUACCACUGAACAUGGAAGCCAGUGGGAGAGUUGAAUUUCAUUUCCAGUUCUACCACAAACAACAUAUACACAGCCCCUUCUGCUUUCUUGGCCUUACCUUCAACAUCAAAAAAAUGAUGACAUAUCACUAGCUGAUCUCAACAUCAGCUCUUCUUCUUGAAAUGGACUCUAUCAUGCCCUUGGACAGGUAUCUUCUUCCUGAGGUUCUUCUUCCCUCACUUAUUAGCUUAUUUUUGUGUAUUGUCUUCCCCAUUAGAUAGUAAGCUGCUUGAGAGCAGGAACUUUCUUUUUCUUGAUUGUAUCCCCAGUGCUUGGCAAAGUGUCUGACACCUAGUAGGUGUUUAAUAAAUAUUUAUCACCUGACUGACUUACUAACUCU